CCGCCUUGACGGUCCCUCCCUGGCCGCUCUCUCCUGUACCUCCUCUGAAUUAAACGCUCUCUCUUCCUAUGACAAACUCUGGCAACAAAUUUGCACAUCCACCUGGCCAUCCGUUAACCACCCACUUGUCACCCAUGCUGUCUCCACCUUUCCUUCAGCUCAUCGCUCCCUUUUCUCCGAUUCCUAUCCUCUCCUCCUCCACCGUCACAGCUGCCACGAUCUUGACCGUCCAUUUCCCGCAACAAGAGAAUUGAUCUCAGCCGUGGAUAUUUACUAUCAAAACGUCCCCAUCUUCUCUACGGUUGAAGCUACUGAGACGGUCACCGGUUGGUUCCUCAGCUCUCCCUUCAG
rnacentral:lncRNA from 1 species